ACGUCAAAUCAUCAUGCCCCUUAUGCCCUGGGCUACACACGUGCUACAAUGGCCGGCACAAAGAGAAGCGAGGCCGCGAGGCGGAGCCAAUCUCAAAAACCGGCCCCAGUUCGGAUUGUGGGCUGCAACCCGCCCACAUGAAGUCGGAGUUGCUAGUAAUCGCGGAUCAGAACGCCGCGGUGAAUGCGUUCCCGGGUCUU
rnacentral:rRNA from 1 species